rnacentral:lncRNA from 1 species
GGUAUUAUUGGGGGGAAAGAAAGCUGAAUAUUUCGAAAGGCUUCGUUGGGAGUGCCCUCUCAGAUAUGAGGAAGGGUUGAGCAUUUUUGUAGGUCUGCCUGUCCGUUGGGGAUGGAGGUCGACAUAUAUAGGAGUCUCCUUAACAAGAAGUAGUAAUGCUAUUCCUUUACCCUACUUGGUCAUAGCACGGUAGUGGGAGCUGUCAGCUUCACAUGUUUUAACGCUGUCA